AGGGAACUUGAGGAGGCUGUAAAUCUUGGUGACACCUCAGUUUCAUAGGGGAGAAAUUGGAAAGGAUUCUAGUAUUUAUCUGCCCGAAAUUGGUUAUAAAAACAAAAUUAUCUUCGUGUACCUGCAGCAUCUGAUGUUUUCUGAAAUUUCAUUAUAUUUCUGAAUAAUUCAGGGAGCCGUGGGAAUAGUGUUUUGACAUGACCUCAAUCGCAAAUUGUUUUUACUUUUAAAAUUUUAUAGUCACCUGCUAAUGUGCUUCCUUUCCUGCCUCUUUAAGGGUGAGAGUGUUUUCUACACCGUUGUAGGAGUCUUCAGCCACGAUAGGCUCAUUAUCUGUGGGUAAAUGAAGUAACUGUAUUAGCAGAAUAUCUACCAAUUUUCUCUCUAAAAAUAUCACAGCUACUAUACAUUCUAUCUGUGGGCCAAAAUCCUGGGGGUCUGAAUCAUAAUUGCUGUACAUUUAAACAAUGUCUUUUCAUGGCGACUGUUGGGCCACACUGACUUGCUCUCAUAUGGUAGUGGAAGUUGCCAUGUAACAACUUUACAAAGGUAACAGCAUGUGACACAUUCUUUUUCUUCAAGUCAAAGAGAAAAACAAAGAAAGGCCUAAAAGAAAUAUUGACUCAUGUUACUUCUUGCUUCCUUCUUUGAAAAUAUAUGUGUAGUUUCUUUCUAGGGACUGCUAACUUCAUUAUCCAAUGCCUGGUGGUGGUCCACUGUCUUUGUUCCUUUAGCAGCCAUUGUCUCUGAGUCCCCCCCAUUUACAUAAUAUCUGAACUAUUUCAUCAGGACUCAAAUAAACAGUAUUAUGUUGCAUUGAAGCUGAUGUAAAUAUAAUAUUUAAUGGUGGGACACAGGGACUGAAAAUUGUCCAGAACUUGGAGUUUUCUUUCCUGUCUUUUUAAGGAUGAGAUUCUUUCCCAAUAAGCAGUGUGGAGUGAGCAGCCAGAAGUGGUGUUGGCUGUCGGGAUUAUCAACUAUACCAUCGUUAUGCCUGCAGACAUGUGUUUUGUUGCUAUCAGUAGGUUCAACAAAAUUGACAAAACUAAAAAAUAAAUGCUAUUUUGGAAACUCAUAUUCAGGUUGACCAUUGCAUCUGCCAUUUUUUUUAAACACUAUAUUAUAUUGAAGUCUGAUUCACUCUUUAGAGGGAGAAGUCACAUGAAAAUCUGUGAUAUACAUUCUCAUACAUACAUAUUAAUAAAAA
rnacentral:lncRNA from 1 species